UUCGCAAUGCCCGAAAGGGUGACGAAGCGACGCCGCGUGUGGGAAGAAGGCCUUCGGGUUGUAAACCACUGUCGGGAGUUAAGAAAUGCAAGGAUAUUAAUAGUGUCUUUGUUUGACUAAGGCUCCGGAGGAAGCCACGGCUAACUCUGUGCCAGCAGCCGCGGUAAUACAGAGGCGGCAAGCGUUGUUCGGAAUUAUUGGGCGUAAAGAGCACGUAGGCGGCUAUGUAAGUCGGUUGUGAAAGCCUUCCGCUCAACGGAAGAACAGCAUCCGAUACUACAUGGCUUGAGUGCGGGAGGGGAGAGUGGAACUUCUGGUGGAGCGGUGAAAUGCGUAGAUAUCAGAAGGAACGCCGGCGGCGAAAGCGGCUCUCUGGCCCAUAACUGACGCUGAAUGUGCGAAAGCUAGGGGAGCAAACGGGAUUAGAUACCCCGGUAGUCCUAGCCGUAAACGAUGGGCACUAAGUAGAGGGGUUUU
rnacentral:rRNA from 1 species